UACAGAGGGUGCGAGCGUUAAUCGGAAUUACUGGGCGUAAAGCGUUGCGUAGACGGUUAUUUAAGUCAGGUGUGAAAGCCCCGGGCUCAACCUGGGAAUUGCAUUUGAGACUGAAUAGCUAGGGUGCGGUAGAGGGAAGCGGAAUUUCCGGUGUAGCGGUGAAAUGCGUAGAUAUCGGAAGAACAUCAGUGGCGAAAGCGGCUUCCUGGACCAGCACCGACGUUCAGGCACGAAAGCGUGGGGAGCAA
rnacentral:rRNA from 1 species